CUUCUAUUUUUUCCUUCUGUGAUUUCUUGUUUGUUUAUUUCACUGCUUGUUUAUUUCUUGUUUGUAUGUCUUCUACUUGAAGUAAAAUUGCUAGUUGAAACUGCUGGGUUGAUUUUUUUUUUUUUUGGGUGGAUCUGAGUUUGUGGCAUGGGUUUCUCACUGUAUUUUUUUGUGAGUUCCAUUAAUGGUUGGUUUGGGUGCGUGAACAGCUCCUUUGCUGGGAUUUUUUUAUAAAAUUUGCAUGAUUUCAGAGGAUUUUGCAGAAGAGAGGGAGAAAUGAAGAAAAGAGAGGCUGUGACUCCUUCAACGUUGUUUCCCGCCUUCAAUGUUUCUGGAAAAGUGAGGGAAAUGGGAAAGAGGAGAGAGGGAGAGAAAAAAUGUUUUUUUUUUUUUUGCCGACGUGUCAAGUCAGGACCCUAUUUAAUCUCUAAUUUUAUUUGUGACUCACGUUCACUUGCCACAUUUGCGGUAAAGAAGGCAACGGUGCUCACAAUGUGUGGGUUCCGUGCGGUCGGUACACACAUUGACUCACGUUUCCAAGUUUGCUUAAUAGCUUGGGCCUGUUUUUGAGCCCAUGAAAGAAAGUAAGUCCAUAUUCCAUUACUAUAUAAGCAGCGUUUUAGGUCAAAGUGUUUUUUAAUUUUUGUUGAGAGAAAGGAAGCGGCGGCAGCCUAAGAUGUGGAGAAAUGUGUCUGCAUCUUUACCCACCAGAUCUGUGCCUGAUGAAAGGGUUCUGCGGGAGGUCAACAGGAUUGGGAGAUGCAGGAUGCUUGUAGGAUGCUCUAAAUCAGGAGCAGGCUGAUGAAGAUGGCUUAUACUAAAUUAAAGAAAAAAUACUGAUGGGUCUUUGAUAUUUAGGGGCAUUGCUUCUGUCAUUUGAAAAUUGACUAGUUGUUAUUUUUUUUCUUGGUUAAAAUUAUGUCGGUCUAUUAUUAUAAGUUAACAGUUGUUGGAAGCAAGCUGACAAAAAGAAGAAUGAGAAUGGAUGGGUUUGCAUAGAAGAAAUUAUUGUGCUAGUUGAUGAUAAUUGUUUAUAAAAUUGUAAAAUUAUAAAAGUGUUCAUUUCUUUUUUUUCUA